rnacentral:rRNA from 1 species
AAAUGAAUUGACGGGGGCCCGCACAAGCGGUGGAGCAUGUUGCUUAAUUCGAGGCAACGCGAAGAACCUUACCCAGGUUUGACAUUGAUCCGGCCGGCGUUGAAAGGCGCCCUCCCUUCGGGGCGGAUCAACAGAUGCUGCAUGGCUGUCGUCAGCUCGUGCCGUGAGGUGUUCGGUUAAGUCCGGCAACGAGCGCAACCCGUGCCGCCAGUUGCCAUCAGGUGAUGCUGGGGACUCUGGCGGGACCGCCCGUGUCAAGCGGGAGGAGGGCGCGGAUGACGUCAAGUCCGUAUGGCUCCUACGCCUGGGGCUGCAAACGUGCUACAAUGGCCGGUACAGCGGGGCGCCAGUCCGCGAGGACGAGCGGAUCCCCAAAGCCGGCCCCAGUUCGGAUCGCAGUCUGCAACUCGACUGCGUGAAGCCGGAAUCGCUAGUAAAGGGGCAUCAGCCACGGCCCCUUGAAUACGUUCCCGGGCCUUGUACACACCGCCCGU